CGGGCAGAGAGACUUUAUGGGAGGUCGUGAGCAGACUGCCCGGGGUAGCUCGGUUCCCUUCGAUUGCUGUGGCCUGGGCUCAUGACACACAGGUAUUUUAAAGGAGAAAUUGUGUUCUAGAAAUGAGUGGUUCUCCUGGUGCCCCCAGGAAAGCACGCCGCUUGGCACUAGUUUUCUGCAGGAACCCCACGUUCAGGAUCCUAACGACCUUCAUCCAGUUACUCUCACCCAGAGCAAUGGCAGCAGGAAGCCAGUUAAUAAAUGACCGAGGAAGCUGGGAACUCUGGGAAGCCGUUGCGGUGGAAGAGGUUGUCAGUGUAUCGAGUCCCAGCCCCGGUGCCGGGACUGUGCUGCCUGCCAUGCGCUCCUCCCUGAGACCCACCAGAAACCACGAGUCACUGCAACAAGGAAGUGGGAAAUGCAAACCGCUUGCAGAUUUUUGUUCAUUCUGGGGAAGUUGAUUUCCUUUUGGAUAUUGCCGACUCGUGUGCCAUUUUCCAUGUUUUUGGCAUCCUAGGGACAUGCUGUAACCUUCUCUAAGGAGACAGAAGAUGCUGGCGAGUUCGUUUUUCAUUAAGUAAAACUUAUAAAUAUA